CAGACCUUUACACAUUGCAAGUCGAACGGCAGCAUGAUCUAGCUUGCUAGAUUGAUGGCGAGUGGCGAACGGGUGAGUAAUACAUCGGAACGUGCCCUGUAGUGGGGGAUAACUAGUCGAAAGAUUAGCUAAUACCGCAUACGACCUGAGGGUGAAAGUGGGGGACCGCAAGGCCUCAUGCUAUAGGAGCGGCCGAUGUCUGAUUAGCUAGUUGGUGGGGUAAAGGCCCACCAAGGCGACGAUCAGUAGCUGGUCUGAGAGGACGAUCAGCCACACUGGGACUGAGACACGGCCCAGACUCCUACGGGAGGCAGCAGUGGGGAAUUUUGGACAAUGGGCGAAAGCCUGAUCCAGCAAUGCCGCGUGUGUGAAGAAGGCCUUCGGGUUGUAAAGCACUUUUGUCCGGAAAGAAAUGGCUCUGGUUAAUACCUGGGGUCGAUGACGGUACCGGAAGAAUAAGGACCGGCUAACUACGUGCCAGCAGCCGCGGUAAUACGUAGGGUCCAAGCGUUAAUCGGAAUUACUGGGCGUAAAGCGUGCGCAGGCGGUUGUGCAAGACCGAUGUGAAAUCCCCGAGCUUAACUUGGGAAUUGCAUUGGUGACUGCACGGCUAGAGUGUGUCAGAGGGGGGUAGAAUUCCACGUGUAGCAGUGAAAUGCGUAGAGAUGUGGAGGAAUACCGAUGGCGAAGGCAGCCCCCUGGGAUAACACUGACGCUCAUGCACGAAAGCGUGGGGAGCAAACAGGAUUAGAUACCCUGGUAGUCCACGCCCUAAACGAUGUCAACUAGUUGUUGGGGAUUCAUUUCCUUAGUAACGUAGCUAACGCGUGAAGUUGACCGCCUGGGGAGUACGGUCGCAAGAUUAAAACUCAAAGGAAUUGACGGGGACCCGCACAAGCGGUGGAUGAUGUGGAUUAAUUCGAUGCAACGCGAAAAACCUUACCUACCCUUGACAUGCCACUAACGAAGCAGAGAUGCAUUAGUGCUCGAAAGAGAAAGUGACACAGGUGCUGCAUGGCUGUCGUCAGCUCGUGUCGUGGAGAAUGUUGGGUUAG
rnacentral:rRNA from 1 species